AGUGAACGCUGGCGGUAGGCCUAACACAUGCAAGUCGAACGGCAGCACAGUAAGAGCUUGCUCUUACGGGUGGCGAGUGGCGGACGGGUGAGGAAUACAUCGGAAUCUACUUUUUCGUGGGGGAUAACGUAGGGAAACUUACGCUAAUACCGCAUACGACCUACGGGUGAAAGCAGGGGAUCUUAGGACCUUGCGCGAUUGAAUGAGCCGAUGUCGGAUUAGCUAGUUGGCGGGGUAAAGGACCACCAAGGCGACGAUCCGUAGCUGGUCUGAGAGGAUGAUCAGCCACACUGGAACUGAGACACGGUCCAGACUCCUACGGGAGGCAGCAGUGGGGAAUAUUGGACAAUGGGCGCAAGCCUGAUCCAGCCAUACCGCGUGGGUGAAGAAGGCCUUCGGGUUGUAAAGCCCUUUUGUUGGGAAAGAAAAGCAGCAGGUUAAUACCCCGCUGUUCUGACGGUACCCAAAGAAUAAGCACCGGCUAACUUCGUG
rnacentral:rRNA from 1 species